UGGGGAAUAUUGGACAAUGGGCGAAAGCCUGAUCCAGCCAUGCCGCGUGUGUGAAGAAGGCCUUUUGGUUGUAAAGCACUUUAAGUGGGGAGGAAAAGCUUAUGGUUAAUACCCAUAAGCCCUGACGUUACCCACAGAAUAAGCACCGGCUAACUCUGUGCCAGCAGCCGCGGUAAUACAGAGGGUGCAAGCGUUAAUCGGAAUUACUGGGCGUAAAGCGCGCGUAGGUGGUUAUUUAAGUCAGAUGUGAAAGCCCCGGGCUUAACCUGGGAACUGCAUCUGAUACUGGAUAACUAGAGUAGGUGAGAGGGGAGUAGAAUUCCAGGUGUAGCGGUGAAAUGCGUAGAGAUCUGGAGGAAUACCGAUGGCGAAGGCAGCUCCCUGGCAUCAUACUGACACUGAGGUGCGAAAGCGUGGGUAGCAAACAGGAUUAGAUACCCUGGUAGUCCACGCCGUAAACGAUGUCUACCAGUCGUUAGGUCUUUUAAAGACUUAGUGACGCAGUUAACGCAAUAAGUAGACCGCCUGGGGAGUACGGCCGCAAGGUUA
rnacentral:rRNA from 1 species